CAUCUUCACAUCUGGUUCUUCAUUGUGAACGGUAGGGAUCUUGUUUCGAGCUCUGAUUCUACUGUUUUUGGUUACGUAAACAGCUGCUGUUUUUAUUGAAUCUCUGAACGGACCAGUUUCAUCAUUUACAGCAAUCGGAAAGUCAUUGUGGUCUGAUUGAGCUGAAUUUUUUGGUGGGCACAGUGGAGACAUAUUGUUUUUUAAUUUGGAUGGUGGAGAUCGGGUUUUGACGACUAGAAGGUCAAUUUGGAUAGGCAGCAGCUAUGUAUUUUGGUGAAUCUCUCCAAAACUUAGCUAUCUCUUAUUAAUUUAUUUGAAUUAUCUUGAGAUUUUUGGUUGAAAAUUGUUUAUGGUGUUUGUGAUUGCUGUAAACCUUUGUUGUGAUAGCAGAGCUGUUUCAAUUGGACCAAGAAAUUUAUCCUUCAAAGUGAAGGAGUUUUUCAUGUAAAAAAA
rnacentral:misc_RNA from 1 species